UUGAUACACCAGUUCUCGUAAGAUUACAGAAGUUAAGCAACGUCGAGCCUGAUCUGUACCUAGAUGAGUGACAACUUGGGAAUAUUAGGUUCUGU